UCUUAAAAUAUCCAAAAAUCUAUUUCUAACCAUUAGAGACUAUUGGAGGAAAUUUCGUAUGGAUAAAAUUUAUGAAAAGGCCUAGAGCUCAAAAUAACUAUGUCGAACAGGUCCAUCAAUAGGGGUCUCCGACGACUCAAGGUUGGCCACCAUCUUCUCUGAUGAUUCAAGGUCAGCAACUACUUUCCUCAAUUAGUCC
rnacentral:lncRNA from 1 species